rnacentral:rRNA from 1 species
CAGAGGGUGCAAGCGUUGCUCGGAAUCAUUGGGCGUAAAGGGCAGGUAGGUGGUCUCAUUUGUCGGGGGUGAAAGCCUUGGGCUUAACCCAAGAAGUGCCCCCGAAACGGUGAGACUCGAGUAUUGGAGAGGCGAGCGGAAUUCCCGGUGUAGCGGUGAAAUGCGUAGAGAUCGGGAGGAACACCAGAGGCGAAGGCGGCUCGCUGGACAAUUACUGACACUCAACUGCGAAAGCGUGGGGAGCAAACAGGAUUAGAUACCCUGGUAGUCCACGCCGUAAACGAUGGGUACUAGGUUUGGUAGGCUUUGACCCCUGCCGAACCGGCGCUAACGCACUAAGUACCCCGCCUGGGAAGUACGGUCGCAAGACUA